rnacentral:rRNA from 1 species
AGCUCCAAUAGCGUAUAUUAAAGUUGCUGCAGUUAAAAAGCUCGUAGUUGCAUUUCCGAGGCAAGGGAUUAGUCCGACCUUUGGUGGGUAUUUAAUCCUCUUGCCUCGUCCUUGAGUGGUGCUUCUUGGUAUUAAGUUAUCGAGGAGAUAGCCGCUCAUCGUUUACUGUGAGAAAAUUAGAGUGUUCAAAGCAGGCUUAUGCCGUUGAAUAUAUUAGCAUGGAAUAAUAAGAUAGGACCUCGGUACUAUUUUGUUUUUUUGAGAACCAAGGUAAUGAUUAAUAGGGACAGUUGGGGGUAUUCGUAUUCAGUUGUCAGAGGUGAAAUUCUUAGAUUUACGGAAGACGAACUACUGCGAAAGCAUUUACCAAGGAUGUUUUCA